rnacentral:lncRNA from 1 species
AAUGCAUGGCCACCGCAGAACCUAAACAAACAACGACUAGUUAGAGAGCCUUACCAUCCACCACCUCCACACCCAGAGCCUCUGCAGAUGCUACCGUCAACACUAUAAGGAUUUAUAUACUACGCAAUGGAAGAUGGCGUGUGCAUUCAUAUUCUAAUUAAAAGUGGUGAUCAAGCUCAGGUUGUUAAUAAAAAAACAUAAUCAUGCAGUUUGGAUUUUAC